GCAUAUCAAUAAGCGGAGGAAAAGAAACCAACAGGGAUUACCUCAGUAACGGCGAGUGAAGCGGUAAGAGCUCAAAUUUGAAAUCUGGCCCCCUCGGGGUCCGAGUUGUAAUUUGCAGAAGAUGCUUCGGGCGUGGCACCGAUCUAAGUUCCUUGGAACAGGACGUCAUAGAGGGUGAGAAUCCCGUAUGUGAUUGGAGGCCUACGCCCGUGUGAAGCUCUUUCGACGAGUCGAGUUGUUUGGGAAUGCAGCUCCAAAUGGGUGGUAUAUUUCAUCUAAAGCUAAAUAUUGGCCAGAGACCGAUAGCGCACAAGUAGAGUGAUCGAAAGAUGAAAAGCACUUUGGAAAGAGAGUUAAACAGUACGUGAAAUUGUUGAAAGGGAAGCGCUUGCAAUCAGACUUGCGCUUGGUGUUCAUCGGGGCCUCGUGCCCCGUGUACUUCACCAAGCUCAGGCCAGCAUCAGUCUGGGUGGUUAGAUAAAGGCCUGGGGAAUGUGGCCCUCCUCGGGGGGUGUUAUAGCUCCAGGUGCAAUGUAGCCUGCCCGGACUGAGGACCGCGCUUCGGCUAGGAUGCUGGCGUAAUGAUUGUAAGCGACCCGUCUUGAAACACGGACCAAGGAGUGUACCUAACAUGCGAGUGUUUGGGUGUCAAACCCAUGCGCGUAAUGAAAGUGAACGGAGGUGAGAACCCUGGAGGGUGCAUCAUCGACCGAUCCUGAUGUCUUCGGAUGGAUUUGAGUAAGAGCAUGUUGGGUGCGACCCGAAAGAUGGUGAUCUAUACGUGAAUAGGGUGAAGCCAGAGGAAACUCUGGUGGAGGCUCGCAGCGGUUCUGACGUGCAAAUCGAUCGUCAAAUUUGCGUAUAGGGGCGAAAGACUAAUCGAACCAUCUAGUAGCUGGUUCCUGCGA
rnacentral:rRNA from 1 species